AGCUCCAAUAGCGUAUAUUAAAGUUGUUGCAGUUAAAAAGCUCGUAGUUGGAUUUGUGGCCUACGGUGUGUUCCGGGCACUUGUUGUCUGAGUAACCUGCUGUUGCCAUCCUUGGGUGGAACCUGUGUGGCAUUAGGUUGUCGUGCAGGGGAUGCCCAUCAUUUACUGUGAAAAAAUUAGAGUGUUCAAAGCAGGCUUAUGCCGUUGAAUAUAUUAGCAUGGAAUAAUGAGAUAGGACUUUUUUGCUAUUUUGUUGGUUUGCGCAAAGAGGUAAUGAUUAAUAGGGACAGUUGGGGGGUAUUCGUAUUCCAUUGUCAGAGGUGAAAUUCUUGGAUUUUUGGAAGACGAACU
rnacentral:rRNA from 1 species